GACGAACGCUGGCGGCGUGCUUAACACAUGCAAGUCGAACGGAAAGGCCUGCUUUCCCUUGUGGAUUGCGGGUACUCGAGUGGCGAACGGGUGAGUAACACGUGAGUGAUCUGCCCCCAACUUGGGUAUAAGCCUGGGAAACUGGGUCUAAUUCCCGAUAGGACUGCAGGGUGGUGCCCGUGGUGGAAAACGAUUUUCUAGUGGUUGGGGAUGAGCUCGCGGCCUAUCAGCUUGUUGGUGGGGUAAUGGCCUACCAAGGCGGCGACGGGUAGCCGGCCUGAGAGGGUGGACGGCCACAUUGGGACUGGGAUACGGCCCAGACUCCUACGGGAGGCAGCAGUGGGGAAUAUUGCACAAUGGGCGGAAGCCUGAUGCAGCGACGCCGCGUGGGGGAUGACGGCCUUCGGGUUGUAAACUCCUUUCGACCGCGAGGAAGCCACCUGGUUGGAAGGGUGGUGACGGUAGUGGUAGAAGAAGCACCGGCUAACUACGUG
rnacentral:rRNA from 1 species